CCGUACCUCCUUUGGGGGACCAAUUUUUGUGACAGGAUGGUCUGGACCCCAAUGCAGUCAAGUCACCAUGCAGGGCAGUGACAGAAGAAAAAAAUCAUUAGCUCCAGAUAUUAAAUUUGUUUGUUUCUCAACUUUCAAGAGGGUUUAAUAGAUCCUGGCCAUCUCAGUGUUGUGGAAGUUAACAGUCAAAACAAUCUGAAGUGAUCCUUUACCAAGAAUCUUGGCAAGAUCAGUGUAUAAUUAGGAUUGUGGUUUAUAACUCUGGUUUCAUGUCAACAGCGAGGGUUAGCUUCUAAAGUUUUGCGUCAAUGGAUGUGGCAGUCAAGAUUGAAAUUGAUAAACUAGGAACUGUUAUCAAGACUAUCAAUGAUCUCAAGAUACCUUGGGGAGUUGCUCUCAACCAAGCUGGGGAGAUAAUUGUUGCUGAACAGGGUGCUGGUAUUGUCUCGAUAUUCAGCCACGCAGGAGACAAGCUGCAAACAUUAGACACUCGAGGUACAGCUGUUGGGGAGAUGAAGGGACCUCGUGGUGUGGCAGUGGACGGUAAUGACAACAUUCUGGUGGUGGAUCGUGGUAAUCAUCGACUGUUGAAAUUCUCACAUGGAGGAGACCUGAUAGCAGCAGUAGGUAGUAAUGGCGAUGGUCCUGGGCAGUUUAGCAUUCCGACUGGUAUUUGUAUCAACAGUGUCAAUGCAAAGGUGUAUGUGGCUGAUCAUGGUGCUAACCGUGUUCACAUCUUUAACUCUGACCUCACCUUCUCCAGCAAGCUCGGCAGCUAUGGCAGUGGUAAUGGACAGUUCAGCUCUCCUUAUGACGUUGCAUCCGAUCGUAGUGGUUGUGUGUAUGUGGCUGAAUAUGGUAAUGCUCGAGUGCAGGUCUUCACACCCGAUGGUGGCUAUCUGAGGCAGUUUGGGAAGAGAGGCAGUGGAAAUGGAGAACUUGACAGGCCUGGCAGCAUCUGUGUGGGCAGUGAUGAUCUGGUGUAUGUGGGGGAGAGUGGAAACGAUCGUGUGUCGGUGUUCACGUGUGAGGGAGUGUUUCUCAAGUCAUUUGGACCAUGGCAGUUCAAUGGGCCUUAUGGCAUAGCAGUAGACCAGUGUGGUGUAGUGUAUGUGUCUGGUUAUGGCAAUAAUAAAGUGCAAAUAUUUUCCUAGUUUAUUUGUUGUCAUUAAUGAUAAUUAUUGUUUUGGAGUUAUUGUAACGUACAUGUUGAUUAUAAAUUGAAACCAGUGAAAUCGAGUACCUCGAUUGCUAAAAUUGAUCUGCAAUAAUGACUUUACUGUUGAAUUUUGCACGUGACCAAAUCUAAUCCAGGUAUUCGUGUCGUACCUCCUCUGGCCCAUGUUGUCCCUAUGCAUGUACAUGUGUACUGAGUCUCUCCUGUUACAGUCGUGCCUUUAAUUAAUUAGUAUCGUACCUCACCCCACCCCCUCCUCCUCUCCAGGGUUCCAUGGUGCUGGUGGCGGGCGUCAAUACUGGUACGGCCAAGGUCAAGGUCCGUGUGAGGGAAAGGGCGUGAUAGGGGGUGGAGCCUGAUAUCAUCAAGCUGCUAAGUCAUUGAGAACAUGAUGCUACAACCCAGGCUACAACCAUCCCAUGGAUGUGUACAUUCUGCCACUGUUGGUCGAGUAUCGGAUGGACAGACGGAAGCAUGGGAGGUCAUCACCAUGCCAUCAGGCCAGUAUUCAUUGGAGCUGACCAAUACGGGCGCCCCCCCCUCUCUCUGAAAUCCUGCCACACACACAGACAUUACGUUGUGAUGUAUUUGUAGCCUCAAUUGAGCGAGUUGAGAUCGGAGUUGCUGUUGGGGGAGGAGCCCGAGCAUUUCAGUGUGACAAGGAAAGCAAUAUAUUCAGCACCCUGGGGGGUCACAUCUUUGAGUGGACACUCCUCUCUGAUAAGGAAGACACCCACCAACAAGCAUCCCCUGAGGCCAUACACAACUUCAUACCCUUUGAAGAGUCCUCCUGUUCCACUGACCUCGAUUGUCACCGGCAGUCUUAGAACAAAAGGUUUGUGUGUGUGUGUGUGUGUGCGGGUAGUCUGGUUUGUGUUUGACUGUGUGAGGGGGUGGUCUGGUUUGUGUGUAGGUUAGGCCUAAGGUCCAGCACAGAAGUUUAAGAAGAGAAGACAGGCUAAUCAGAUAUCUUCUAGAAUAUCUGAAAUUAUUAUAGAGUAAUAUUAUUCCUUGAGAAUUUGUGAAUCAUGCAGUAUUAAAUGGCAGCUAUUUUAAUAGCAUGAUAUCUAGCCAGUGCGUAUAACAUACCUGUCAGAGAAAGGGAGCUGGAGCUGAACAGUGUGAAGAAAAGCAACACCUCGGGCUCUGGAAAAGCACUGCACUGACAGUUUGUGGCACACAGGCGCACGGUUUCUUAGCCACGCCUAUCUAUUAUUUGGCCACAACGCAAUUGCUGAGUCAUUAAAGAUGGCGGAAUUUUCUAGCUUGAAUUGGACGAGGGGAGCUUGUUCAGUGCACUAGCCACACUCACUCCAUUCUCUGACUUCAACCAGAGCCCCAGGAACAUGUACCAAUGUCAGAUCGAUGGCCAUGCAAGCAAACGGUGGGUACACCACUUCGAUCAGUCAUUCCCCUACAGAAAGGAUGGCAAACUGUACAGACUGCAGGUUAUUAUUGAGAGUGAAAAAAUAUUGUCUGUUAUAACAAUCACUCAUCUUGAAAACGACAUCGGAUAACUCAACUGCCAUAUAAAGCAACCCUUUUAGCUAGAUCCAACAAUCAAGUUUCAAGUGACAAUUAA